rnacentral:lncRNA from 1 species
GAAAUUAAAUGUCACAUAGUCUGCUCUGAGAAAAGAGCCAAGUUCAGGGCAGAGACUACCUUCCUGGGUACCCCCCAAGAAGGAGUCUUGAUCACUUCUCUAAACAUGCCCUGGAUGUUCCCAGAGCUCAUGAAAACGCUGCUCUCCAGUGGUGCUAGCAGCUCUGAUGAAGGCUAAGUCCAAGCUCUGAAUUCAGGAGAGCAGAGCUGCCUCCUGCUCCCACCACCGUGGUUCUCAGGCAGUAAUGGUUCUAUUAUUGGCCAUGUCAAUUGGAGCAACCAUUUGGAAAGUCAUUUGGCAACAUCUCCCAAAGCUGAAUAUACAUGAAGCCUAGGAGCCAGGAAUUCCACUUCCAGGAUAUGCCCAAUAGAAAUGAAUACAUAUGUUCACCAAAAGGCGUGUCCUAGAAUGUUUAUAAUUGUGAACAGACCAAAGCUAGAAACUAUCCAAGUGUCCAUCAACAAUGGAGUGGGAAAUAAAAUGUCUCUUCGUACAAUGGAAUCUACAUAGCAAUGAGAACAAAGAACUUACAAAAGUACACAGCAACAUGGAUGAAAUUCACAAGCAUAAUUCCGAACAAAAAAUGCCAUGUACCAAAAAGCUUAUAGCAUAUGACUCCAUUUAUGUACAGUAGAAAAACAGGCAAAACAGCUAGCCUGUUAGAAGUCAGAAUGGUGGUUACCCUUUGAGGGGCUGUUCCUAGAUGGGGACUCAUGGGGUAAUGUUCAUUCCAUGUCUUGAACUGUGCACUGAUUACACUGGUGUGUUUAGCUUGUGAAAUGUAUCCACCUAUACACUUAUGUGGUUUUCUGUAUGUACAUUAUAUUUCAAUAACAUUUUAAGAAAGUGUUUUGCCACUUAUUAGUUCAUUUGACCCACACAACAGUUCUAGGAGAUAAGAAGGCCAGGUAACUUUUCUUCAGAUUUAUAGAAAGAAAACAGACUCAAAGUUUGGUCCAAGGUCUCAGUGCUAAUUGGUGGUGGAAUCAGGUUAGGUAUGUCAACCUCCUGGGCCAAGAAAGAUAGUCUCUGUUGGAGCACCUUGCACAGUGCUUGAUGCAUAGUAGGUGCUCAAUAAAUUUCAUCUGAAGCUGGAUCAUAGAAUGGUGGCCUUCUAAUCCCACAAGGCUGUUAUCCUGCUGUGGGAGUAACCAUCUUCUCUGGUGGUCUAAUGUCCCUUAUAGAAUGUGCGUAUUCUCUCCUAAGAGAAGAGUGGAGAUGAGGCCUGAGUCAAAUAUCCUAAGAAGCUGCCAAAAUACCUGUGGAGAAUUGCAUAACCUUGUCCCUCUAGGGCUUAGAAAAGAAUGAGUCAGACAGUCAGUUCUCAGACACGGUGCCCAGGAAAACAGGAAGAAGGUUCACUUAGGCAGAAAUCCAUGUAUGUGACCUUGGAUACAUCACUGAACUUCUUCAGGGGCAACAAUUUGAAAGACACAUUUGAGACACUCUGCCUAGGAUGACGUGAUCCUUCUGUAGCUGAUCUUCUGAGACCCGUGAAUUUUAUGUACUAUUUUCUAAUUAUAUUCUCAUUAUUUUCAAGGGCAUCAGACUGCAUUUCAAACUUGACAAUUCCUUUGCUAUAAUUUCAGCUCAAAUUUUGACUAAUUUAUACUUUAAAUACAAAUAUGCCCCAUUUUCUGCUUGUCAUCAUAGUUCAGAAAGAAGUUAUACCGACCAUGUUAUAUAAAGUAAUGAGGGGUCCUAUUCAGCUUGUUAACCAUGUUUCUUAAAAAAAAAAAGUACAAUAGAACUUUCUUUGUCAAUAUAAAAUUCGAGUUAUUUAUGAUGUGGCUAAAGAUAUGAUAAGAAGUCUCAGGAAUGGAAUCUGUUAUUGCUUGGAAAAUAAAAUCUCAAGACCUUCUUUGGAAAAAAAUGGAGAGUGAUAAAAUGCUUUCAUUUAGGGCUUGGCUGUGAUGUCAAGGUCAGCCAAUGAGCUUAGAGGGAAUCUGAGAAAAAUAAAGAGAAAAAUAGAAACA